CUUUGUCUAUCCAAAUAAAUGAUUCACCAACAGCAGUGGCAAUUCAAGCUUCCCCCAUACUGCCCCACCAGUGUACCUCAAAGUGGAUCUGGAGUACUCACUUCUAUGGUGAAAGAG
ensembl:misc_RNA